rfam:Cavia porcellus supercont2_30 genomic scaffold, whole genome shotgun sequence.
GGGGAUUUAGCUCAGCGGCAUAAGCGCCUGCCUUGUAAGCAGGUAGCUGUGAGUUCGAUCCCUG